rnacentral:rRNA from 1 species
GAUGAACGCUGGCGGCGUGCCUAACACAUGCAAGUCGAACGGGACUGAUUUGGCGGAGAUUCGUCAAAGCCGAUGAAAGUUUAGUGGCGGACGGGUGAGUAACGCGUGGGUAACCUGCCUCAUAGUGGGGGACAACAGUUGGAAACGGCUGCUAAUACCGCAUAAGCCCACAGUACCGCAUGGUACAGAGGGAAAAGAUUUAUCGCUAUGAGAUGGACCCGCGUUUGAUUAGCUGGUUGGCGGUGUAACGGACCACCAAGGCGACGAUCAAUAGCCGGACUGAGAGGUUGAACGGCCACAUUGGGACUGAGACACGGCCCAAACUCC